rnacentral:lncRNA from 1 species
AUACUUGCUUACACAAGGCUAGCUGAUUGAAAGUAGAACUUCCCGUAUCUACUCAGUACAAGGAGUUCAGUAUAUCAACAUUAGCUACCUGGUACAAAAACAAAGACUCUUUCCAUUGUCUAAACAAACUACAGGUCUAUCCAUCAACAGGACUUAGCAAGCUGAACAAUAUCAUUACAACUUGUGUCAGUGCAAGGUAAAAGUGAGGACUCCUCUGCCUUUUAUUAAAGAUGGUGUGGAAGAACAAGGAAGUGAACAGAUUUGAAUCCUGAGGAUGGGGCUAUGGAAAAGCGCUGUUCGCCCUCACCCAGCUGGUUAUUGUGCCCAAGGCUUAGGGCACAAAAUGAGGUGGGAAAGGCCUUGUCCUUGGGACUGAUAACACAGUUUCACCAGAGACUGUUAACAACCACCAUUCAGACAGGGCGUUCAGAGACCUGAUAACAGGCAGCUAGUGCAAUAGAUCCAAUUCUAAGUUGUAUGACUGAGUCAAUCAUCUCACCCCAUAAAUAGCAAGUCGUCGAAAGAACCCUGUGGAGAGUUCUUGCAAGCAGCUGGCUGCACACCAGAAUCUCCACUGAAGUAGGGACACCUCUUGAAGUCACUUAAUGUCUGCAUGGAGAUUCACCCAAGAUGUGCUGAUGCCUUGCCCACAGAUCUCUGUUACAGGAAUUAUUGGAAACAAAAGAUGCUGGAAAUAAUGGAAAACAAACUGAAGUCCCCUGUGAAAUCAGGAGUGCAGUGAUGCCUUUUGUCUGAGCAACUGAGAAAACUGGAAGAGCCAAAUCAGCAGAACGGGUUGCCCAAGGAGGUUGUGGAUGCUCCAUCCUUGGAGUCAUUGAAACUCGAUGAUCAUUGUGAUCCUUCUCAACCCAGGCCAUUCUAUGAUUCUAUGAUAAAGCUACAUUAACAGGAAUAUUGCUUAGUACAAGAUCAAGCAGUGACAGAUGUACACCUGGUUGUACAAAAUCC